rnacentral:rRNA from 1 species
UAGUCCACGCCGUAAACGAUGUUUGCUAGGUGUUGGUGGUAUUCACCCCAUCAGUGCCGAAGUUAACGCAUUAAGCAAACCGCCUGGGGAGUACGGCCGCAAGGCUAAAACUCAAAGGAAUUGACGGGGCCCGCACAAGCGGUGGAGUAUGUGGUUUAAUUCGACGCAACGCGCAGAACCUUACCUAGCCUUGACAUCUUGGAAAUCCCUUGGAAACUUGGGAGUGCCUCCUCACGGAGGAAUCCAAUGACAGGUGUUGCAUGGCUGUCGUCAGCUCGUGUCGUGAGAUGUUCGGUUAAGUCCGGCAACGAGCGCAACCCUUGUCGUUAGUUGCCAGCACGUAAUGGUGGGCACUCUAGCGAGACUCCCGGUGUUAAACCGGCGGAAGAUGGGGAUGACGUCAAGUCCUCAUGGCCCUUACGGCUAGGGGCUACACACGUACUACAAUGG